AAAAAGCGAUGAAAAAAUUCUAUGUUUUGUUUGGCAUGUAAGAAAAUUUAAUUAAUUAAAUUAAGGUCAGUUUGUUUGCCUGUAAAAGUUUUUAUGAAAAACAUUUUCAUUGCUUUCCCAUGUUUCUUUGGUGGAAAAUGAAUUCCCACCGUAAGUUGUUAUCCAAAACACAAGAAAAGGAGAGGUUUUUUUUGGGCAAAUGUCUUACCAUUUUCUAUUCGGUAAGACAUUUUAACGACAUUCAUCUUCCUCUUUUGAAGGUAAGAAUGAAAAAAUGAAAUAUUUGUAAUAUAUUUUACACAAUUUUAUCUUGUUUUUCUAUUUAGUCCCAUUAAGUUUCUCACUUUCUUGUUUUCUUCUUCUUCGAUUCCAUCUCUGUGCUAGAAAAGCAGUAGUUCUGUUGAUAAAAAAAAAAAAAAAAAGCCCUAGCCAUUUCUAGUCUUUUCAGAAAUGGAACUCUCAACAAUUGGGUGAUUUUCCUUUUCAAUUUCUUUGUGCAUUUCCCUUCAACGAUUUUCCACUUCAAGUGAAAUCAGUCGAUUCAAGUUCGAAACUCAAUUGUCAAAAUGGACGGUGAGACGAUUCACUAUGGGAAGUAAUGAGAAAUUGAGAACUAUUUUGAAAUUAUAUGAUUUGUUUGCUUGCUUCUAAUUUAUUUUUUUAUUUUAGUUGUUUCUAGUUCUGCUUGUGAUAAUUAGGUAAUGAAAUGGUAAGGAUUACUCUAUUGAAAGGGCGGAAGCAACUCUGUAGUUUGUCUUCCCUUAAGGUAGUUUGGACAUGAACAUUGCUUAGUCAUUGUUAUUGUUUUAAUUUUGAAAAAAGGAAUUAAUGUUUUUUAGGUGUUGUGACUUUCGUGCUUCUUCCUGUGUGUUUGCAUUGGUGAUUUGUUGAGUUGGUUCUUUCUUGUUAGCUAUAUGGCUAUUAUGAGUAGUGCCAUUAUUGAGUUCAUUGGUAGUGGUAUUAUGGUUCUUGUUGCAACUUGUGUAGUAUAUGAACCUCUAUUUUGAUAAAAAAAAAAGAUCUCUUCUACCUUCAAAAAAAAAAAAAUGAAAGAAGCUUAGGUGUCCUAGAAUUAUAUAUUAAUAUAAUAAGGUCAUUAAAAGAGACAUUAAUGAUUCAUUUGUGCUUUCCUAAGUUUUACUAGUCUUGUGAUUUUUUAAGCUUAACUAAUCUUGUAGAUUGAUGUAUUUCCUUAUUAUAUAAGAUGGAUACAUCUUAGAUUAGAUUUAUCAAAGACAAAUUUUGAUUCUUCUAUUGCUUACUUAAAUGUUUAGUUGACUUUGUCUUCAACAUCACUUUUACAUUGGUGAUUCAUUUUUGUUUUGCUGCACAGGUAUGUAAAUUGGACUGCAUCUGUGUUGGCUUGAUUUGAGUUCUAGGAACUUGUUGGGAGUUGUGCCACAUGUAGAGUUCAUCUAAUAGUUUUACCCAUUGAUGUGGGUCUGGUGCAUGUUUCUGAAUGAUAAUAAUGUGUCUUUUGUAAUUCCUUGUGACAUUCUGUUUCUUAGUUUUCUCAAUAAAUCUAACCCUGAUACUUGUUAAUAUUGAUAUUAAUUCCAUUGAUUACAUAAGUUUUUGAGGUUUUGAGUUUGGUGGAGAUUAUUAUAAUUCAUGUUCACAUGGAAUGUGUGAAGGCUGAGAUCUUCAUCGAAGUUCAAGGUUCUGAAGGAAAUGAUCCCACUGGCUCCUUUUUUAGAGAAAAUUGUCUCCCACUUUAUUGGAAUAAUAUGUUGAUAUCCAUGGAUGGUGUGUUUCGAUGGAUUACCUACAAUGAAGUUUUCUUUUAGUAGAGGGUUAUUGUAAUUGAAGCAUGUAUGUGCACAUAUUAAUUUAUGUAAUUUAAUUCAAAUAGAAAAUAAAAUUAUGCU
rnacentral:lncRNA from 1 species